AAUAUCUCCGCUGUAGUAGAGUGGUCAGGACUGUACCUGAGCAGACAGGGAGUGGGACAGGCCCAAUAAAUGAGCUUGUUAAACUGCACCCCACACAGUCCAACUCAGCAACAGGCCUCAUACAGUUUUCAGAGCUGAUGAUCAUGAAAGAAGUAAUUAUUUAAAAUAAUAUGCCUCAUUUCAGAAACAACAAGCAUUCCGUGGCAGAGAGGGCCAUUAACAGUUUCCAGAAGCAGUAUUGAGAUCGCCGAAACACACAACGUUGUACAUCCUGCAUAUGAGCGCACUUGGAUGUGGCAGAUAGAGAACACGUCUGGACAGAAAACAUAUAGGUUAACAUCAGAUAUCAACCCUCCCCAGUUCUGGGAAAUUAGUGCUUUCAGAAUAGCAGAAGACGGUGAAGUGUGCAUUGUGAAGCCUCUGAUAAUGAGGAUAAAUGACAGCAUUUAGGAUUCUCCUAAAUUGGAUGACCAAUUCUGCAGACCGAGAGUUACAUUAAAGCGGACAGGCCUUUCAUCGUGGAUGUUCAAGACCAAGAAUGCUACAAUAUAUAACUUUGUGAUUUCACCAAACUAUCUUCAUAACUUCCUAUUCCAUUGUCCCAAAGAUAAGAAAUGUAGACCAUUCAAAGGCUGAUGUUGUCUCCCAUGCGACUGGAUGAUGCAUCAGCAGCAAGUUAAAUAAUCUGCUACGUUAAAUAAAAUGCUUUUAUUGUCA